GAUGAAGAGCGUAGCGAAAUGCGAUACUUGGUGUGAAUUGCAGAAUCCCGUGAACCAUCGAGUCUUUGAACGCAAGUUGCGCCCGAAGCCAUCAGGUUGAGGGCACGUCUGCCUGGGCGUCACAUAUCGUUGCCCAAUGCCUAUUGCAGUGCAAUAGGAAUUUCUAGGGCGAAUGAUGGCUUCCCGUGAGCGUUGUUGCCUCGCGGUUGGUUGAAAAUCGAGUCCUUGGUAGGGUGUGCCAUGGUAGAUGGUGGUCGAGUUAGAACGAUACCGAUCAUGUGCAUGCUCCCCAAAAUAUGGCCUCUAUGACCCACACGCGUCUUUUGACGCUCAUGACGAGACCUCAGGUCAGGCGGGGCUACCCGCUGAAUUUAAGCAUAUCAAUAAGCGGAGGA
rnacentral:misc_RNA from 1 species